GAACACCCCCAGGACAAAGAUGUAGAUGAGCGGGAUGAAGAACGUCAAGUGCGUGUAGAACUUCUGCUCCUUCAUGAACAAGUCGGCCCGAUCGCAGAGGCUCUCCACGUCGGGCGGCACGGGGCGGUGGUGGCGUUUGUUGCCGAGGACGCAAAAGCCCAGGAGGAUGAGGGCGGAGGCCACGAAACAGCAUGCGGCGAGUUUCUGAAGGAGGUUGGGCGACGCCACCGUCUGGGCAGCAGGAGCCGUCGAUGGGUCUCUGGAGCUGUUGCACACGGCGUUCAUCAGCACCAUGGCUCCCUAAACAACUGCAGAUGACUUUUGGCCAUAUAUCCAGAACAUACCGUUGCAGCACCCGAGGAUGACAACAUCAGGCGUUGCGGAGCCUUCCUGCAAGACACCCACCGCAUUGCAAGCAUUACUGUGGCUGACUUAACGUUCCACAAGGGUUAGAACAUUCCUCACUUACCACGUGUCCAUGAUAAUCAGACGCUCCUUCAUGGAGUUAUUCGCUUCUGGAUACCACAGGAAGUCCUGCACACACACAAAGAGAGGUGGAUGUUUAGCACUUCCUGUCACAUGUUGGCACAGCUCAUCUACAAUAAAUAGAAUCUACAAAAAA